rnacentral:rRNA from 1 species
GAUGAACGCUAGCGGGAGGCCUAACACAUGCAAGCCGAGCGGUAGAGUUUCUUCGGAAACUUGAGAGCGGCGCACGGGUGCGUAACACGUGUGCAACCUACCUUUAUCUGGGGGAUAGCCUUUCGAAAGGAAGAUUAAUACCCCAUAAUAUAAUGAUUGGCAUCAAUUAUUAUUGAAAACUCCGGUGGAUAGAGAUGGGCACGCGCAAGAUUAGAUAGUUGGUGAGGUAACGGCUCACCAAGUCAAUGAUCUUUAGGGGUCCUGAGAGGGAGAUCCCCCACACUGGUACUGAGACACGGACCAGACUCCUACGGGAGGCAGCAGUGAGGAAGAUUGGACAAUGGGUGAGAGCCUGAUCCAGCCAUCCCGCGUGAAGGAUGACGGUCCUAUGGAUUGUAAACUUCUUUUGUACAGGGAUAAACCUACUCUCGUGAGGGUAGCUGAAGGUACUGUACGAAUAAGCACCGGCUAACUCCGUG